GACGAACGCUGGCGGCGUGCUUAACACAUGCAAGUCGAACGGAGAAUUUAUUUCGGUAAAUUCUUAGUGGCGAACGGGUGAGUAACGCGUGGGCAACCUGCCCUUCAGAUGGGGACAACAUUCCGAAAGGGGUGCUAAUACCGAAUACGAUCAUUCCUCCGCAUGGAAGGAUGAUGAAAGAUGGCCUCUAUAUAUAAAGCUAAUCGCUGAAGGAUGGGCCUGCGUCUGAUUAGCUAGUUGGUGGGGUAACGGCCUACCAAGGCGAUGAUCAGUAGCCGGUCUGAGAGGAUGAACGGCCACAUUGGGACUGAGACACGGCCCAAACUCCUACGGGAGGCAGCAGUGGGGAAUAUUCCGCAAUGGACGAAAGUCUGACGGAGCAACGCCGCGUGAGUGAAUGAAGGUUUUCGGACUGUAAAACUCUGUUGUUUAGGACGAAAGUGCCUGUUGUCAAACAGUUGCAGGUAUUGACGGUACUGAAACGAGGAAAGCCACGGCUAACUACGUG
rnacentral:rRNA from 1 species